GACGAACGCUGGCGGCGUGCCUAAUACAUGCAAGUCGAGCGAAGUUUUUCUGGUGCUUGCACCGGGAAAACUUAGCGGCGAACGGGUGAGUAACACGUAAAGAACCUGCCUCAUAGACUGGGACAACUAUUGGAAACGAUAGCUAAUACCGGAUAACAGCAUUAACUGCAUGGUUGAUGUUUAAAAGUUGGUUUUGCUAACACUAUGAGAUGGCUUUGCGGUGCAUUAGCUAGUUGGUGGGGUAAAGGCCUACCAAGGCGACGAUGCAUAGCCGACCUGAGAGGGUGAUCGGCCACACUGGGACUGAGACACGGCCCAGACUCCUACGGGAGGCAGCAGUAGGGAAUCUUCCGCAAUGGGCGAAAGCCUGACGGAGCAACGCCGCGUGAGUGAAGAAGGAUUUCGGUUCGUAAAGCUCUGUUGUUAGGGAAGAAUGAUUGUGUAGUAACUAUACACAGUAGAGACGGUACCUAACCAGAAAGCCACGGCUAACUACGUG
rnacentral:rRNA from 1 species